rnacentral:rRNA from 1 species
AGAAUUUUGCGCAAUGGGGGAGACCCUGACGCAGCAACGCCGCGUGGGUGAAGAAGGCCUUCGGNUCGUAAAGCCCUGUCAGGUGGGAAGAAGGACUUGAGGGCGAACAGCCCUUGAGGGUGACGGUACCACCAGAGGAAGCACCGGCUAACUCCGUGCCAGCAGCCGCGGUAAUACGGAGGGUGCGAGCGUUAUUCGGAAUUACUGGGCGUAAAGCGCGUGUAGGCGGCCCAAGCAGUCUGAUGUGAAAGCCCCGGGCUUAACCUGGGAAGGGCAUUGGAUACUUUUGGGCUUGAGUACUGGAGAGGAAGGGGGAAUUCCCGGUGUAGAGGUGAAAUUCGUAGAGAUCGGGAGGAAUACCAGUGGCGAAGGCGCCCUUCUGGACGGUUACUGACGCUGAGACGCGAAAGCGUGGGGAGCAAACAGGAUUAGAUACCCUGGUAGUCCACGCUGUAAACGAUGAGCACUAGGUGUAGCGGGUACUCAUUCCUGCUGUGCCGUAGCUAACGCGUUAAGUGCUCCGCCUGGGAUUACGGUCG